GCCUACCUGGCUCAGUCAGUAGAGCAUGUGACUCUUAAUCUCAGGGUCGUGAGUUUAAGCCCCACAUUAGAUA
rnacentral:tRNA from 1 species